GGCAGUUAGUAGGGUUAGUUCCUGCUGAUCAACAGAGCAAAAUAAACAAGAGGCAGGGGAUUUGGGAACUUCUUUCACAAAGGGCUGAAAGAACAAACACAUGGAGGAAAAACAUGAAACUUCCAAGAGUACAGUCCUAUGAGCAAAAACUCAGACAUCUUUGAGCGAUAGAAGAGACAACUGGGCCGGGGGCCAGUUCAGUGCGGACCUACAUUUCAACCACCAUGAUGAAGAUGGGGCCUCCACGUGAAAAGUAACUACAAAACAGAACCAGAAAAUAGUCAUGCUGUUCAAAUAAAGAGACUGUGGCUCAGAAAAUACAAGCAACUUAUAAAAGAGAAAUAUCUGGACCACAAAGAGUCAACUCAUAGCUUUAUCUAAGGCUCCAGGGCUCUGAAGGUCAUGGGUGAACAAUUUUUUUAAUGAAGGAAAAUAAAUGAAUUAACGUGGUGACUUGUCCAGUUAAGCCAAAGAAGCCACACCAAGUGUUAGAGGACCACAGAGGAACCAGAGAGGAUCUGGGAAACCACCCAGGUGUUCAUUGUCUCCAAAGAGCUAAACCUUGCCUCAGAAAAAUGACCUUCUCCUAUCUUUCCUGCUGCAGCAAGAACCUCUGGUUUAACCAAUUAGCCUUACUGAAGUCUGCCCUGGGGACAAAUUGGAAACCUAUAACCUUAGGACAGCAAGGUAAGGAGAGCCAAUGCACAGCCCCUUCACUUCUCUGGCCCCUCAGUCCCCUCUUGUCUUAAUUGGGCAGUGUGGGUCAAACGCUGCACACGUCCCUUCUGAUUCUGCACGCA
rnacentral:lncRNA from 1 species